AUCAUCUUUUUAUGAAGAAGCCGUUAUCUUAUUCCUCCUAGCAAAGAGUUUGAAAGAGAAACCAAGAAUUGUGAUCUUUUGUUUCAAUACCUUCUCUUCUGCAAGUUUGGCUUCUUCCUGAAGAUUGAGCGACGACGGGCGUGGAGGAUGUUGAGCACAAUUCAUGGAUUAUUUAUGUUUGGCUUAGUAUUGUUGGAUAUGCCGUGUCUUCAUACUCGGCAUUUUCCGUGUCUUGAACGCUUCCGCUAGGUGUCUUUUCUUUAAAAUUGUUUUUGUAUUGAGAAUCUAACUCUUUUCAAAAUUGUCUACUUUCUAGUCUUUAUUUCUUAGAAUUGGUACUUUGUUGAAAUGAUACUAUGUUGUUUUCUAAGUUA